rnacentral:rRNA from 1 species
UACGAAGGUGGCAAGCGUUGUUCGGAUUUACUGGGCGUACAGGGAGCGUAGGCGGUUGGAUAAGCCCUCCGUGAAAUCUCCAGGCUUAACCUGGAAAGUGCAGAGGGGACUGUUCAGCUAGAGGAUGGGAGAGGAGCGCGGAAUUCCCGGUGUAGCGGUGAAAUGCGUAGAGAUCGGGAGGAACACCCGUAGCGAAGGCGGUUCUCUGGGCCAAUACUGACGCUGAGGAGCGAAAGCGUGGGGAGCAAACAGG